AGAGUUUGAUCAUGGCUCAGAUUGAACGCUGGCGGCAUGCUUUACACAUGCAAGUCGAACGGCAGCACGGGCUUCGGCCUGGUGGCGAGUGGCGAACGGGUGAGUAAUGCAUCGGAACGUACCGUGUAGUGGGGGAUAACGUAGCGAAAGUUACGCUAAUACCGCAUACGCCCCGAGGGGGAAAGUGGGGGACCGCAAGGCCUCACGCUAUAUGAGCGGCCGAUGUCGGAUUAGCUAGUUGGUGGGGUAAAGGCCUACCAAGGCGACGAUCCGUAGCGGGUCUGAGAGGAUGAUCCGCCACACUGGGACUGAGACACGGCCCAGACUCCUACGGGAGGCAGCAGUGGGGAAUUUUGGACAAUGGGCGCAAGCCUGAUCCAGCCAUGCCGCGUGAGUGAAGAAGGCCUUCGGGUUGUAAAGCUCUUUCAGACGGAAAGAAAUCUCUUGGGCUAAUACCCUGGGAGGAUGACGGUACCGUAAGAAGAAGCACCGGCUAACUACGUGCCAGCAGCCGCGGUAAUACGUAGGGUGCGAGCGUUAAUCGGAAUUACUGGGCGUAAGGCGUGCGCAGGCGGUGAUGUAAGACAGAUGUGAAAUCCCCGGGCUCAACCUGGGAACUGCGUUUGUGACUGCAUCACUCGAGUACGGCAGAGGGAGGUGGAAUUCCGCGUGUAGCAGUGAAAUGCGUAGAUAUGCGGAGGAACACCGAUGGCGAAGGCAGCCUCCUGGGCCAGUACUGACGCUCAUGCACGAAAGCGUGGGGAGCAAACAGGAUUAGAUACCCCGGUAGUCCAA
rnacentral:rRNA from 1 species